AGUAUUUUAAUGUAUUUUCAACAGUUUUUUACUGCAUAAGCUUUGUACAGUAGGCUACUGUAGUUUUCCAAGGCAUUAUGGGAAAUAUUACUCUGAAUACAGUAUUACCAACCAACUGCAAAACACAAUGACAAACGUCUAUUUAUAUCUUAAAUGCUUAAUUUUUUUGUGAGAUAUUUGGUUUAAUGUCUGUUUUCACAUCAGAUGCUCGGUGUGUUCCUUUAACAUAAAUCAGGUGCCUUUUCUGAGGCUUUAAUGAAAUCACCAGCCAAUUCAAUAGACAUACCAUCAGUUCUUAAUAUUGUUGCCUCUGGGUCACAAAAUGUAUUUUUAAGAUUAGUUUUGGCGAUAAUAUAUAUGUAUAAUCUUCAAAUAACAGUCGAUUAGUUAAAAAAGCGCUAAUUUUAGAAUUUGAUUAAACAAAUGCGGAGGGUUCAGGCGCGAGUCGGUCACGUGAUGUGCUCCUCAGUUCUGUCAGUAGGGGGAGUGGGAGAACGCGUGUGUGUCUUCGUAUCUGUUCUGCUCAUCUAGCGCGUAUUUCUUUAUUAAUAUCUGCUGGGUGAAUAUUAAUACGUAUAUGCUAACAUUAAUUUUGUGACCACAAAAUGACAGCGAGCUAUUAUACGAGAUAUUGUGUCGUCGUGUUUGUCUUCACUCACUUCAUCAUUAUCUGCAAACAACUUCUGCAACUACACAAUGAUUGUCUGCCUGUGUGCAAAAUAAAGCACGUUCACUGUGUAAAACCCCGCGCAGGACAUUUUCAAAUUAACGGUCAGGGCGAGUCUGAGCUUAUCGUGUUGUGUUGACAGAGACUUUGCUGAGGUAAGUAAGAGAAAGAAAUUAAUGUGUUAAAUAAAUAACGUUAUAAACUUGAAUUAUGUUGUGCCAGAAUACGUUGUUUAAUGAAUAUCUGUGGAAUAGGUUUAAAAUAAUACAUUAAUGACUGAACGUGAACUUGACUGAACAUUAUGGCAGCUAGAAGUAUUGAAAAGACGUAUAAUAGAUUUAACAAUGUUUUAUCUUCUUUAUUAGUGUAUGUAAAUCUGGGCUACAGUCCACGACAAAUUUUCUACGGUAGUUUUACGCCUGCAUGCUGGUCCUUUCGUCUAUCGCGGGGAUAUCAUCACUUCAGCGGACAUCGCACUGAAGAGAUCCUUCCUGUGCUUGCGUGGCGGUGUGUUUGUGUGCUCACUUGGAUUGAGACCAGCAGUGCUUUUUUAAACAGUGGAUUCUUUAUGACAUCAAGAUGUGGUUUGGGAAGGACCUUCAUCUAAAUCUGAAGACAGGACAUACUGGCUCAAAAAGGUGUUUCUGAUAUGGAGAAAAACCCUGCACUGCUCAUUUUAUUUCUUCAUCUUGAGAAUACAGCAAGUUUACCUUUUGUCUGGAAAAUGAUUCAGCAAAGCUAACACCAACAACAAUUUUUCAUGGCACUUUAAACCACCUUGAUGUGAGGAGCCAGCAUCAGAAUGGAUGGUGUCAAUAUCCUGAAAGUGGAGGUAACAGAGGUGGAUCUCGAGACUUGGCCAUGUUCUAGAUUAUAACUGGAUUAUCACAAGUGCUGUCGCCCCUGCUGUAUAUGACGCCCCCACCACCUACACCAGGUGUAGGAAAUGUCGGUCCUGGUGUGCCGUUGUCCUGCAGAGUUUUGCUCCAGCUCUAAACAAACACACCUGAACAACUAGAUCUGAAGAGUCACCAGAAAACUACAGGUAGGCGAGGUUUUAUCAGGGUUGGAAAUGAAAUCUGCAGGAUUUCGACACUCCAGGACCGACGUUGCCUACUACUGACCUACACCUUCAUCCUGCCACCACCACCCAUACUACCUACAAAAAACUGUAUUGUAAUUAUGCUUUUCACUGUAUUGUAUGAUGUGGUUUUCUCAUUUAGGGUAACUACACUAUGGCAACAAUUGGAUACAUUGAUUGCUGACUGAUUUUGUUAUUUUUUCUUUACUUUUUGUUUAAAAUCUAAUCAUUUUUUUUGUUAUUUUUGUUAAUAUUGUUACAAAUAUACAGUUAAAACUGCACAAUAAAUUUUCUGCUUUUAAA